rnacentral:rRNA from 1 species
UACAGAGGGUGCAAGCGUUAAUCGGACUUACUGGGCGUAAAGGGCGCGUAGGCGGCCACCGCAAGUCGACUGUGAAAUCUCCGGGCUUAACCCGGAAAGGUCAGCCGAUACUGCGGGGCUAGAGUGCAGAAGGGGCAACUGGAAUUCUCGGUGUAGCGGUGAAAUGCGUAGAUAUCGAGAGGAACACCUGCGGCGAAGGCGGGUUGCUGGGCUGACACUGACGCUGAGGCGCGAAAGCUAGGGGAGCGAACGGG